UUUGCGGUGGUUGCUCAGUGGUUAAGACGUUAGACCACUGAUCAGAAGGUUGUGAGUUCAAAACCUCAGCUGCUUAG